rnacentral:rRNA from 1 species
GUGGGGAAUUUUUCGCAAUGGGGGCAACCCUGACGAAGCAACGCCGCGUGGAGGAUGAAGGCCUUCGGGUUGUAAACUCCUGUCGACCGGGACGAAUUCAGCUUGGCUGAACAAGCCGAGUUGCUGACUGUACCGGUGGAGGAAGCUCCGGCCAACUCUGUGCCAGCAGCCGCGGUAAUACAGAGGGAGCUAGCGUUGUUCGGAAUUACUGGGCGUAAAGGGCGCGUAGGCGGCUUGGUCAGUCCCAUGUGAAAUCCCUCGGCUCAACUGAGGAACUGCAUGGGAAACUGCCAGGCUUGAGUUCGGGAGAGGGACGCGGAAUUCCGGGUGUAGCGGUGAAAUGCGUAGAUAUCCGGAGGAACACCGGUGGCGAAGGCGGCGUCCUGGACCGACACUGACGCUGAGGCGCGAAAGCUAGGGUAGCAAACGGGAUUAGAUACCCGAGUAGUCC